UCAAAGGGGGGAUUUCACAUGUCACAUGAUCAGUACCUGAAGGGAGAUCUCUCUCUCACCAUCACUGAUGCUGAUUACACGAAGAGGUUCUGGUACACCUGUGAGUGUGAUGGUGUAGACAUCUGUGAUGUGAGUCUACAGAUAAAGGCAUUGAAUUCUUCAGUUUGGAUCAAGUCCAAUGAAAAUCUGGUGCUGGAUUUGCCCAUAUCAGAGUCAGUGAAGGUGAUUUAUAACAGCACAGGUGCAGCUGCUCCCUCUAGUGGACAGAUCUGCACAGUGGCUGGAAGCUCAUUACAAUGUAAAGAUGAAUACACCCAGAGAGCAUCUCUUAUCUCUGCUGUUGAGCUGAGAGAAACAGCACCAUCUGAUAGUGGAGUUUACACGAUCUGGGACACCAGUAAUGAAGAGGUCAUUCACACAUACACAGUUACUGUUGAAGAAGUCCAUCCGUGUCCAGAUCAGAGCUCCACAGUGAUGGUGUUGGCGGUGUUCCUGGCUCUGAUGGGGGUGGGGCUUGUGGCAGCAGGGCUGGUGAUUGUGCAGCUGAGGAAAAAAAUCAGCAGCUCCAGAAAGGAGCAGAAAAAACCUGCUUCUCAGGGAACAUCAGCAGAGACGGCCAGUGGCAGAGAGGAGACUGAUGAGACCUUCCCUGCACUACCUCGGGAUGGACCAAAGAGUCCAGCUAAAGUGGAUAUUUACACAUUGGCUAAGUGACCCAGGCAAACUGACCAUGGCCUGCCUGGCCACGGGCUUCUACCAUAAAGAUGUGAUGACGAGUGUGAGGAACGACACCUCCACCCUACCUGAAGAGCUGAAAACGUCCUCGGGAGUCAGUUCCAAUGAUGAUGACACCCACUAUUAAGACGUCCUAAUGACCUACAAAGCACUGAAUGGUCUUGCCCCACAGUGCCUUAGCAAACUCCUGAGAACAGUAGGAAAUACAGAGCCGUGCCAUGAGUUCUAUAUGGCAUCAGGACACCCUCGGCCAACUGAAUGUUUGCUGUCUAACGCUGAAGCUUAAAUAUCUGACAACAGUUUACCAGGCUUGAAUAUCUCUACAGUCAACCGGACAUUGAGAGCACUUCCAAACGCACACGACCUUGACAGACAAAUGCCUGCUCCCUGCUUUCAUAGACCCAGUCAGUGCAAACACCAGGAAAUAAAGGCAGAGGCAAAUCAGAAUAGCAGCAAAUGAAUAAGAACAACAGGUACCUUUGUAACAUGUUUCAAGUAGAAACUGGUACUGUGUAAAUUAUCCAUCAUAUGUCAGGUUUGAGUUGGUCAAGAGCAUGUGCCAUAAUCAGUUUGUCCAUCUGCUUAUGCUGUGGUAUCUAGAAUGUCUGACAGUCAUUAGAAAAAUAAGUAGCAGAAUCCUUUAUCGUUUUAUUUGAAAGUAUGUGAUUUAAAAUAAAUAAUCUAAUUGUAGGUAUUUAGCUUGAAACUAGAGUUGUAUUAUACAGUAUGUCAUUAGGUUGAAUGGGAUUGUGAAAUAGUAGCUAGUGUGACCUCUGUGUUCCGUCCCACUCAAUGAUGCACACCAGGUUGUGGAUGAAAGGGGUUUCCUUUUAUUUUCCACACUAUAACAAGUUCAGCAACCACAUUUAAUUUCACUGAGGGGUCAGCAAACAAGCCCACAGCAGGUAUGUCUCACUCUGCCAUGCAC